rnacentral:rRNA from 1 species
CACGUAGGGGGCGAGCGUUGUCCGGAUUUAUUGGGCGUAAAGAGCUCGUAGACGGCUCGGUAAGUCGGGUGUGAAACCUCCAGGCUCAACCUGGAGACGCCACCUGAUACUGCUGUGGCUAGAGUCCGGUAGGGGAGUGUGGAACUCCUGGUGUAGCGGUGAAAUGCGCAGAUAUCAGGAAGAACACCAGCGGCGAAGGCGGCACUCUGGGCCGGAACUGACGCUGAGGAGCGAAAGCGUGGGUAGCAAACAGG